UUGAUAUGAUGAUACUUUUUUGUCAGUUCUGCUACUGAAAGUUUUUUGAAGAUAUUCCAAGUUCUGAAUU